rnacentral:rRNA from 1 species
UACAGAGGUCCCAAGCGUUGUUCGGAUUCACUGGGCGUAAAGGGUGCGCAGGUGGUCGGGUAAGUCUGAUGUGAAAUCCCGCAGCUCAACUGCGGAAUGGCAUUGGAUGCUAUUUGGCUAGAGGGUUGGAGGGGGGACUGGAAUUCUCGGUGUAGCAGUGAAAUGCGUAGAUAUCGAGAGGAACACCAGUGGCGAAAGCGAGUCCCUGGACAACUCCUGACGCUGAGGCACGAAAGCUAGGGGAGCAAACAGG